GGGCGUCCCCAUGGUACGGCCCCACCUGCCGUGAGCACCGGGAAACACGCGCGCCGACCGGUGGAGAGCGAGCUUCUGCCUUAAACAUCACCCGAGAGCUGAGAAACGUGUUGCCAAAAGAAAUUACAUAAAAAUAUUCGCACUGGUGAGCUCUGGGUGGCGGGGUGACAGUGAGCAGUUUUUACAGGCUACCGUGGCUCCUACGGUUUUUCACAAAGUAGUAACAGGUACCUGAGUUUGAAACGUCAGGGAGCACACAAAACACUUGGAGAAGCCGACCGGGCGCCCCGGGGCUGCCGGAGGGGGACGGAAGCUGGCGGGACCGGUGAAACCUCCGGUUUUUAAAAACAGUCUUUAAACUUUGACCCUACACCGUAGGGACUAUGUCGGGUCAAAAUUACGUCUGGUCAGCCGCGGGCCCCACGUCCCAGGGCUGAACAAGCCCGGUCUGCGGCAACACGAGGCUCUCCCGUGACAGGGCCUCGCCCAAGGCUCCCCCAGCAGAUCUCCUGGGAUUCAGAACUACCAAAUCGCCGGCAGACACGUCGCCAUCAGAGGAAGCCUGUGACAUCCGCCAGGAUAAAAUCAAAAGGGCAAUGGAACCCACCCAAGAGAAAUACGACCAGAGAGAUUUGCGUGCAAACAUUCACAACAGCAUUGUUCACACCAACCAGAAUGUCCACCAACCGCGGGGGCAUGAGCAGCAAGGAAACGCCUAUGAAAAGAUAGAAACUGCUGAGACAUGGGCCUACGUGGAUGAACCUCAAAAACGCUAGGCCAGAUGAAAGAUGCCAGACAAGAAAAUCCCAUGAUUCCAUUUAUGUGACACUUCUUAAAAAGGUAAAUCUCUAGAGAGAAAGCAAAUUCAUGUUUGCCUGGGGGUGGGAUCAACUGCAAACAGGCACGAAGGAACUUUUUUGGGUGAUGAAAAAUAAAACUUUGGAUGUCGAACAUAUUUUAAAACUAGAUUGCAAUGAUAGUUGCAUAACUGUAUACAUUUAUUAAAAUCGUGGGACACUUACAA